rnacentral:rRNA from 1 species
AACGGAGGGUGCAAGCGUUGUUCGGAAUUACUGGGCGUAAAGCGCGUGCAGGCGGUCUUUUAAGUUUCGUGUGAAAUCCCACGGCUCAACCGUGGAACGGCGCGGAAAACUGGAAGACUGGAGUACGGGAGAAGAGGGCGGAAUUCCCAGUGUAGAGGUGAAAUUCGUAGAUAUUGGGAGGAACACCGGUGGCGAAAGCGGCUCUCUAGACCGAUACUGACGCUCAUACGCGAGAGCGUGGGUAGCAAACAGG